AUGAUGAGUCAGAUUGGUAACAUAGUGCAGCAAGUAGGCCUUCAACUGGCAGAUAGUAUCCUCGCACAUUUGAAUUUGCACAGUCAAUCAGAAGUUGCACCUAAGCAUACUCUAAAUAACCACAAUAGUAGAUACACGCCUGAGCAGUGCUCCAUGUCAAGUGCAUCACAGAUUCAAGUAGUGCGUCAGAGGGAAGUUAAAGAUCCUCCUACUUUCAGAGGCGAUACAUCAGACACUGUUACACUCGAUGAGUGGGUGGAGCUAAUGAAGAACUUCAUAAAAAAGGGGUUUCUGCCUACUGAAGAGCAAGGUGAAGAAAUUUUAAUCCACUGGAGAGGCAAAGCCAAAGAUGUUGUUAAAGUGGGGAUGCUGUCUAGCGGAUUAGAUAUCAGAACAAAUCCUGAUGCAAUCUACACUCUUUUACGGAAGCAUUUCAGUUGUCAACAGUAUUCUCCUGUCCCUUUGCAAGAUUUCUACACCACUCUUCCUGAACCUCAGGAGGAUCCCUUUGAUUACUGGUUACGCCUGAACCAUACUGCUAACGUCGCAGCUGAGUGUCUGAAACAACAGGGAAAGUUAUUAGACAACCAACUGAUCGAAGUCACACGCAUGUUCAUUAAGAAUUGUCCAAACUCAGAUCUAGCGCUGACAUUUCGUUCAAAAACCAUUGACAAAUGGACGGCUCAUGAAGUGCAAGAGAUCCUGAACGAGUAUCAUUCAGAGAAAAAUCUCAGAGCCACUGGACAAGGAAACAGACAGAUUGAAUGUGAAAAUAAAAUCACUAUGAAUGAGAUGCAUGUACGUCCUUGCCAAAACCCAGUGAAAGCUGAACAGGAUUCACUUCAGUCUAAACAGUCAGAAAACAUGGCUCUGGAAAAAGUGAUUGAUAUGUUAGAGAGAGUUCUGAUGAAUAAUAGUAGUAAUGCACAGGCGAGCAAGGAGUAUAGGAAGAGAAGCACCAUGCCUAGAAUUCCAGGCUUGAAUGAUACACCAUGCUUAGUGUGCAAGGACACCUCACAUUCUGCUUUUACUCACUGUAAAGAAAAAAGACUCUGUUUCCAGUGUUUUUCGCCUGACCAUCCCAGAUUCCGGUGUCCGAAGGAAAGGAAGAAUGCUUCCUCAGUCAACCAGCAGUCAAACUAA
ensembl:lncRNA